UGAUUCAUGACUGGGGUGAAGUCGUAACAAGGUAACCGUAGGGGAACCUGCGGUUGGAUCACCUCCUUAUA
rnacentral:rRNA from 1 species